GUGACUUAAAUACCUACAAUUGCAGUUUAUUUGUAUUCUAUUUUAUACGCUAUGCGAUAUCAUAUGCAACUGUACUGCACUGUAAAAUGAAUAAGG